rnacentral:lncRNA from 1 species
CGGUCAAGUACCAGCCGGACUACACGUUCUUGCGACAGGUACCUCUGAAGCGGGUCCAUCUGUUCACCUUUAUACAGCUGCUGUGCCUCGUGGUGCUCUGGGUCAUCAAGUCCAUUUCGUACACAUCAAUUCUGUUCCCGAUUAUGCUGGUGGUGAUGGUCGGCAUCCGGAAGCUGCUGGAGCGGCUGUUCACGUCGGGCGAGCUGCGGGUGCUGGACGACGCCAUGCCCGAGUUCACGCGCAAAAAGAAGCAGGAGGAGAGCGAUUGGAGGGAGGAAGAGCAGGAGUGCGGCAAGCUGCCCAUCAACG